GACGAACCGUGCGAACGUUGUUCGGAUUCACUGGGCUUAAAGGGCGCGUAGGCGGGUUUUCAAGUCCGGGGUGAAAUCCUCUCGCUCAACGAGAGAACUGCCUUGGAAACUGGGGACCUCGAGGGAGGUAGGGGCAUGUGGAACUUCCGGUGGAGCGGUGAAAUGCGUAGAUAUCGGAAGGAACGCCGGUGGCGAAAGCGACGUGCUGGACCUUUUCUGACGCUGAGGCGCGAAAGCCAGGGGAGCAAACGGG
rnacentral:rRNA from 1 species